UACGUAGGGUGCAAGCGUUGUCCGGAAUUAUUGGGCGUAAAGAGCUCGUAGGCGGUUUGUCGCGUCUGCUGUGAAAACUCAGGGCUUAACCCUGAGCCUGCAGUGGGUACGGGCAGACUAGAGUGUGGUAGGGGAGAUCGGAAUUCCUGGUGUAGCGGUGGAAUGCGCAGAUAUCAGGAGGAACACCGGUGGCGAAGGCGGAUCUCUGGACAGUUCCUGACGCUGAGGCACGAAGGCCAGGGGAGCAAACGGG
rnacentral:rRNA from 1 species